UACGGAGGGUGCAAGCGUUAUCCGGAUUUACUGGGUUAAAGGGUGCGUAGGUGGGUAGGUAAGUCAGUGGUGAAAUCUCCGGGCUUAACCCGGAAACUGCCAUUGAUACUAUUUAUCUUGAAUACUUUGGAGGUAAGCGGAAUAUGUCAUGUAGCGGUGAAAUGCUUAGAUAUGACAUAGAACACCAAUUGCGAAGGCAGCUUACUAUGGUUUAUUGACACUGAGGCACGAAAGCGUGGGGAUCAAACAGG
rnacentral:rRNA from 1 species